UUCUUCGGGGGACCCCGGGGGGGCCGAGAAUAGCGUCUUUAUUUUUUUUUUGUUUUUCUCUCGGCCGUUAUAGGGGGAGAUAAGGGGGGAACNNNCNGAUCUCUGGUGGGGUUUUNUNUGGGAAAAANAGUGAAACAAGGUUGUAGCAGGGGAUCCGGAGGAAGGCUCAUGGAAGAGUCAUUAAUCGAGAGCCUGUUGCUGGUGCGGAAACGCACAUCGUGCACGGCUCGUGUGCUCAAUCCAUUUCAACCCCAUUGUCACCUUAUCGAAGUCAGUAGUCUUUCUCUAUUUGUUCGCCGGUUGUGUGCGGGAACCUCUUUCUGUUCACUUGGCCGGCGAGGAGAAAUAGAGGGUCGAAAGCUUUGACUUUUCUGUUAAACACUUUGUAUGUCUUGUGGAACGUAUUAGCUCCUUUGUAGGGGCGAAAUAAAUACAACUUUCAACAACGGAUCUCUUGGCUCUCGCAUCGAUGAAGAACGCAGCGAAAUGCGAUAAGUAAUGUGAAUUGCAGAAUUCAGUGAAUCAUCGAAUCUUUGAACGCACCUUGCGCCCCUUGGUAUUCCGAGGGGCAUGCCUGUUUGAGUGUCAUGUUAAUCUCAAACCCUCUUGUCUUUUUUGUUGGUCGGUUUGGACUGGUUGGUGUUGAUGGGGGGUUGUGGCAGCUCUAUGUCGGCUCCUCUUAAUUGCAUUAGCUGGACUUUGGUUCGCAUUUGACGGUGUAAUAGUAAAGUGUUCGCCGGGCGUGCUUGCCUAACGGGUCUGCUUCUAACCAUCUUCGGACAACUUCUGUUCAUUUUGACCUUGAGCUCAAAUCAGGAUGAACACCCGCUGAACUAUAACCGGAGGAAAAGAAGAUGACAAGGAUUUCCCUAGGAACUGCCUAGUGAACUGCGAGUGAGCUCAGGAAUAGCAUCUGGCUGCUUUCUGGCGGCUUAGUUGUAAUCUAGAGAGGAAUUUUACAGG
rnacentral:rRNA from 1 species